rnacentral:lncRNA from 1 species
CUUCCAGAAUCUGCAGCUGGGGACCCUCACCCAAGCCGAGUUCAGAGAACGGCUCCACAGUCUUGCCAGACCACCCAGGCCCUGAGUCCCUGGCAUCCAGUGAUGGAUCACCAACCUCACUAUGGCCCAAGAACAUCCAACUCUGGUCUUGUGCAGGGCUUUCAAAAGAUGAUCUCGUAUCGCUUUUAGAAGACAUUUUCUCUGCAGAGAGACCUUUUCUUUCAUUUAAGGAGGCUGGCUGACAUGUGUCUGGGAAGCUUGCUAACUGAGUUCCCUGCAGCCCUGUUUCUUUGGAACCUACAUACAAUUCUAAUUCAGCUAUGCUUUCUCUUUCUUCACAGGUCUCUGGCUUUGAGUGUGAAUUUUCUUCACGGUUUACAAUCAACGUUUGAUGGAGACAAAAUGUUGGAGCCUGCUCCUACCGGCAAAUAAACGGACUCAGGGUCUUCACGAAUAUGCAGCACAGCCAGCUGGGAUCCAGGCAGUCUGUUUUUGGUCUCAGCCUGGUUUCCCUCACUUCUUCGAUCAGGAAGUGCAGAAAGCACUAUCUCUGCUGCUCUGCAUCCCAGAGAUUCAUCCUCUGGAGACCCAGCUUCCUCUAUUGUUUCAGCACUCUGGGCAGGUUCUGUGAGAUAAGACAAAUCAAAGGGAGGUGUGUACGGUGCCAGCGACUGCUUCAGAGAAUCUUCCUCCAAAGGAGGGUCACCACCAUACAGGAAGUGUUCAGGCUCUCUCAGUAAAUCUUCAUCGAUAUUCUGGCCCAUUACAUCAUAUUCAAAAUCACCCCACGAGGCUUCAGAUGAGCAGAUAUCUUGCUUCCCUAGGUCCCCAUCAACUGGCGUUUCCGGAUGGCCUUCGGAUAAUGUCAGUUUACUCAUGUCAUCUAUUGUUCCCGUGGAUGUGUUGAGACCUGAGGCAUCGCUGAAACUGUGGUCAAAGGCAGCUUCGCUUAUAUCCAGACAAGUGUCUGAGGCUAGCAAAGCAUCAGGAACCAAGGCAGGAUUCUCUGUGGAUAAAUGUGGAUCACCAUCAAACAAAGCUCUUGCACCAGGCUGACUUUCAGGAGAAAAGCUGUCUGAUAUCCAAGAACCGUCACCUUCUGGAGUUGGCUCUUGUAUCUCUGGGACUGUCUUGUCUCUGGACAAACUCCUCAUCAUGUUCCACAAGGCUAUCUUUGCCAGCCCCUGACAAAAGUGAACUGGAUGAAUAAUUAGACAUGUUGGUUCCCAUGCCAUCAAGUCCUUCAGGCCCAGCGGGGAGCUGUCCUUCUGACAGGUCACUGUUGGGGAAGAAGUCAUCUGCUGGGGAGUAGUCUGCAGAAUGAGAAGAUUGCUGGGACUGCCCAGAAGCCAUGGGUGCUGGGUCAAAAUUGAAGAGGUCGAAGUGCUCACCGUGUUCUCCAGACCAUGCAUGUUCCUCCGCCACCGCCCCUUCAGGGAUGGGGCUGUAGGAGUCAAGCCCUGGGAGAAGGGUGUGGUGAGGCCCAGCACCUUCUCCCACGGGGCUGUCGUCACUGAGGAAAACAGAGCUCUCCUUGGAUGAGCGGCUGCUCCUAAUGGUAGCCAGUCCGCUGUCUGGGCUAACAAGGUCUACAUUGGCAUCCACCUGAGCCUGGUUAGAAUCAUUGAGAUCUGGAGGGUUCUCUAUGAAAUUCACAGAGCUGGGUUGUGGCUCUAUGUCAGAACCAUACAAUUCCAUAAUCCCAGAAGACCCCUGGGAGAGGGGGGCACUGCCUGCCACGGCUUCUGUUGAGGAUGUCCGGCUAUUGGAGACCAUCUCUGGACACCUCCUGUUGAUGACUUCCUUGACAACGAGAACCACCUGAUCACAAGUCACUGAAGGGUCCUCUUGUUGGUACACCAGGAUCUCAUCACAGCCACAGUCAAAGGGCUCCAGUUCUAGGCAAGGGUUCUGACACUCUUCCAGCUCACAGCAAAUCUGUCGGAAGGCACAGGAAUUUGUGUCAGCACUCAAGCACUGUUGCACUUUGCAAUUGCACUUUGCAAUUUAUCUCGCUUAAUUUUUAAAUAUAAAAUUAAUCUGUGUUCAUCUGUCUGAAAAAGAAGAUCUCAAAC